rnacentral:rRNA from 1 species
UACGUAGGUGGCAAGCGUUGUUCGGAAUUAUUGGGCGUAAAGGGCGCGUAGGCGGUUUGUUAAGUCAGCUGUGAAAGCCCGGGGCUCAACCCCGGAGGGUCAGCUGAUACUGGCAGGCUAGAGUACAGAAGAGGUAACUGGAAUUCCCGGUGUAGCGGUGAAAUGCGUAGAUAUCGGGGGGAACACCUGAGGCGAAGGCGGGUCUCUGGGCCGAUACUGACGCUGAGGAGCGAAAGCGUGGGGAGCGAACAGG